UUGCUGACCGCCUGUACUUCUUGUAGAAGUCGACCUGUGUUGUCGUGACCAAAUGAUGCAAUACUUCCAGAAUAGUGUUUCCUGUUAGAGGAAUGUUUGUGAGCCAAAAAAGAUAGUGACAAUGAUUUGGUUCUUUUUAACCACCGUUUGACCAAGAAAUUACUUGUUGCAGAAACAAGUAAUUUACAUGAAACUGAACACAAUUUGUUAGAAUGAUGAGUUUUCAAAAGCAGCAAUCAAAGUUUUAAUGUCACAUUUGAUACAUAUUGGAAAACAAUUGUAUCAAGAUCAGUUCAUGUAAAUUUGACGAUGAUCAAUUGCAAAUCUUGAAGUGCCAUAAAACAGUUGCAAAGCAGUGCACAGAGCAAUACUUUUCCAUUCAGAUUUAAAGUAUACCCAACUAGUAACUUUUAUGACUUAGAAAUUAAAUUGAAAAUCUGAGAUUUAUAAUAUAUUUCAAUUUAAUUGAGGGGGUGGAUUUGUUUGAGGAAUUGUGGUUGUUUUAUAGAUUAUUAAAGAAGGAAAGAAAAUAUCUUUUUCAAUAAUAAUGGGUGGGUGAUAGUUGAUGGAGUAUAAGAAGGUGAAGUAUUAAAUUUGGCAUCAAAUACAUGUCAAUAUUGGGCAACAGAGUGGCAGAAUGUAUGAAAUAUUGUCCGCAUUGCUGACGUUUGUGUUGUUCAAUGAAUGUAGCAUCAUUUAUUGCUUUGAAUGAUAGUCAUUUCUUGUUGAUUAUUUUGUUGAUGAAUAUGUUUUUGUUGAAUGAGCAAAUCAUUCCUCCCUUGGACCAGUAGACAUGGCAAUUCAGUCAUAGAUUUUGACAUCAUAUUUUAGAAAAAAAUUAAACUUAAGGAAGUUAAAAUGGCAGGUUCCAAUAAGAUGAUAAUAAUACUUUAUUUGAUAUAAGAAUGACUAUUCGUCUCUUCAUAUUCCUAGCCCAUUGAGAAUGGGGUAUUAGUCAUGAACAGCUACAACAGUCCCAGAAAUAUUUCUUUAAAUAUUAACAAAAUACAAGUUGCACUGAAACAACUCCAAAGAAUGGAAUGGAUGGCAUGAAUUUUGUCAUUUUAGAAGAAGGGAGGGAGGGGGUGUAAAUAAAAUAUGAACAAUUAUGCAAUAUUACAAGACCAUGUAAUUUUGAUCUUUUGUUCUGCAGUACAAUACCAUUGGAUGUGAUGAAUAUUUUACAAAUUGAACAACCUAACAUUUGUAGGGAGUGUGAGCAUCUUUAUCCUUUGUACAUUUUCAUACUCUGAAAGAUAGAGGAUAUCUGAGGAAAAUGUCGGUUGUAUUUUUAAGAGAUGUGUAGAUGUGCCUUUGUUACACCUUCAUACCAUUCAUUCAUUUCAUGCCAAAUUCCAGAAAUUUUCAUGGAAAGCUUGCUUCAUAUCAUGAAAGAUGGGUGCAAUUUGUUGGAUUUAUUGCAUUUUGUGUGACGUGAAUAUCAUCAGACUGAACUUUUCUUUAAAAAAAAUUAGGAAAGGGAAUGAGAGCAGUCAUAUUUCACUGAUUUUCCUUUAUUUUGAAAGUACUACCUUGACAUCGCACACACACGAUACAUGGCACACAUGGAGACCAUCCCUAAAUGACUUUGGCUGUGAAAAGGGCAUUUAACAACACUAAACUAAUAAUAGUUUGUUUCAAAUCAUUUUCUAGUCAUUUUUAUGCAAAAUUUUCAGAGGUCUGUGAAAGAAAGGUGCAGACAAACGGUUGUCAACCAUAUAAACCCAACACGAUGAGCAAUUUGACGGGGAUGAAGAGUAGUUUUCUUACCAUUAAUGAUUAGGCUUACUGGAAAUACUGGUGAUGACAGCAUUACUUUCAUUGAAUUCAGACAGAUCAUUUUUUGAAAGGACGAAUAAAUGUGUACCUUCUAUAAUAUUCAUAAUUCAUAACAAUCAUCUUUUUGCAAUAUUUUUUUAGUCACCUGUCGUGCAUCAUCUGAUAUUGAAUAAGAGAUAAGUAUUACUUUUAUAUUGAAGCCAUAUCCAACGUAGUGUAGGUAUUUUAUAGUUUAGAUGUUUUUAUACAAAGAAGAAAAUUCCUCGAAAAUAUACUGUUAUAACUUGUUCAUGUUAAAAAUUAAAAAUUUGCAAAAACGAA